rnacentral:pre_miRNA from 3 species
GGAAACUUGAAAACUACCGUUAGAUUAAAUAAUAGACGCUUGAGAUUUGUUCACGUCAUCACGAGUAAAAAUUUUACUCACAGAUUUACUCGUGAGUAAAAAUUUUACUGUGCGUGAUAACGUGGAUGAUUCUCGAACAUUUAUUUCUCGAUCUAACGGUAGUUUCCAC